CUAAGGAAUAAAACGGAACCUACACAUCGAAGAAACUUUGUUUAGUUUUGAGGGGUUUACCCUCAGAGCUUGUACUUUGAAAACUAAAUACUAUCUAAUUUCUUUAUUAACAAAACAAUAAACCGAGAACACCGCGUUAUUUGAGUUUUAAUUAACGAAUUAUAAUCGCUAACUCAAUUAAUCAGACAAUCUUUGAUUGUUUAGGU
rnacentral:misc_RNA from 4 species